AGGUCCCAGGCUGCAGGUGAGGAAGGCAAAGGGGCUUCCAGCUCUCCUUGUACUGGCAGAGCAAAGGUGUUUAUGGUGGGUGAAAGGACCUCCUCUAACCCGAUAAUAGCAAAAACCUGGUGUUUCUGCUAAGAUCAUCUGUGGAGAGGGCAGGCCAAGGUACCUGGAGUGUGCCAGGUGCUGGAGCAAGAAAGAUUUGUACAUUGAGUACAGCAAGAUCAAUGCAAGCUCAAGAAACAGGGCAUUUUUCUACCUGACAUUAAACCUCAUCACUCUGUGCUCGAGGGAGACUGCAAACUAGACACAGAUUAUCCCAUGUACAGCCAUCCCAGUCAGCUUCUUCAGAGGGAAACCCGCACAGGCAGCGUUUCAAGGGUCCAGGCACAUCCCAGCAGUUAUUUUUCCUGCAGUCCUGCUGCAUCUGUGGCUCUUACACUGGAGUACACCUAACGCAUCCAGCUGCCCCGGAGCCAGGGCUUUACCUCUGUGCAUUCACCAUAAAACCCUGUUGUUCUGUGGGAACAUCUGCUCGUUUGUGCUCCACCCAAACACCCCACACAUUCUUCAGCAAUCUCUUUUUCUACAGGUCUGGCUGCUUUUUGCCAGCAGCAAUGUACACG